rnacentral:rRNA from 1 species
ACAUGCUUACAACAUAGUGUUAAUGAAACGGAUCCCAUUAGAACUCUGUAGUUAAGCAUGCUCGGGCUAGAGUAGUACUGGGAUGGGUGACUUCCCGGGAAGUCUUAGUAUUUUACAUGCC